rnacentral:tRNA from 14 species
GCGCCUGUAGCUCAGCUGGAUAGAGCAACGGACUUCUAAUCCGUAGGUCGCAGGUUCGAAUCCUGCCAGGCGCGCCA